GAGGUUAUUUAUUGUAUCAACUGUAACCCUAUUAUUAUAAUUUGUGAGUUUAUUACUCACCAUAUCCCCAGCAACAGCCCUUAAUAAUAUUAUCAGUGCUAUUUCUUUUAUGCCCUCUAAGUACUAAUACUGUGCUGCUGUUACAAAUCAGCAUAGUUUAAUGCAGAGUCUUGUCUCUCACAGGAGGAGCAUGAUGUGGAGCAUAUUCUGGCCCAAUAUGAAGAGACGCAGCAAGCCCGGCGAGUUGUGGGAUCUAGACUCGAAGGCUUGCAUAAUAAGAUUGUGGCAAGGCAGAAGGAGCUGGAGGAAGCUGCUAAGAUCAAAUCAGAAGAACAACAAGAGGAACCCCCUGUGGUGGUGGUGGUGCCCAGGCUGAGCACCAGGAGAAGGCUUACAAAAGCCAUAAAGAAGAAAUUUCAGAGGAUUCGGCGUUCCACCAGACGAGUCCUUCUGGAUUUUAUCUCCCUUUUCCGAGACCCUCCACCUCCCUGACCCUCCUGUUUUUUUAUCCCUUCUGGAUCUGUGUGCAUUUGUGUGUAUGUGUGUGUGUGUGUAUGUAUGUG